rnacentral:tRNA from 1 species
UGCCCCAUGGCUGAGUUGGUUACAGCGUCCGACUGUUAAACACAAGCAAUCGGAAGGUCGUGAGUUCGAGCCUCACUGGGGCAG